UGGGCGAAGAGGCUGGUCACGUGAGGGGCGGUGGUCCGGGAACCCGGAGGUCUCUAGGUUGGGAUGCCGGCUGCGGGGGAGCGGGCGGGGAAGGGAGCGGACUGGGGAACAGACCGGGGGAUCUGACCCCGCCUCCCUCAACGGAGGGUUGAGAGGCAGGAGGCUAACGCCCCGUGGAGGAAGGAUCCAGAAGGAUUUCUCGCUUCUCCUAGGGCGAGCAUAACUUCUCCCCACCAGAAAAAGCCGGGAAUCUGAGCCGGUUUCUUAUGAGGCAGCCUCCAGGAAAGGAAUUCGCAAAACAGCACCAAAGGGCUUCAAGCAAAGGAAUGGUAACAGCUUCAGGAUUACCGUAUUUCUCCAAGUUUAAGAUGCUGCCAGUUAUAAGAUGCAUCAUUUUUAAAUAUACCACUGAGAAAAAACAGUUGCCAAAGAAAGAUGUGUCAUCGGUUAUAAGCCUUUUUUUUUUUUUUUUUUCUUUUUGUAAGUAAUCUCUACACCCAACAUAGGGCUUGAAUUCAUGACCUGGGGAUCAAGAGUCACAUGCUCUAGGGACUCAGCCAGCCAGGUGUCCCAAGCUGAUUUUUUUUUUUUUUUAAACACAAGACUAUUGGAACAAUGCAAUAAAAUAGGAAUGGUGUGAAGCUGUAGAACAAGCAUGGAGAUAGAGUACUCCUCUUGCAAUGGUAACUAAGCGUGCAACUUUGGGCAAGAGAACUAUGCUUUCUGGACUUCAGUGUCCAUAUCUGUAUCAAAGAAUUGAACUAAAAGAACUUUUUUCUCUUAGUUGUGAUUUUUAAGUUGGCAGAACUACUCUAUCACUCAAAUCUUCCCACAUCUGUCCAUCUUGGUGUGGCAUUGCCACUCUGCUCCUGGUCUGCAUCAUUCUACUUGAAUGACUCCCCACUACUCUUCCAGACCUUGCAUUCACCCUACAAAAUAUUAAGGCCCCAAACACAAUUGUUUAUGGCCGUCACAUUCAAAUUCAGAAAGACAGAGACAAAGUUGUGUUAUUUGUUAGCUACAGAAGAGAUUAGGAACCUCAAAGGGAGGAAGUUUAAGUUUGAAAACACAAGAGACCAGCUAGUGCUUUAGAUGUAAAUUCUUAACUCUUUAAGCAUUCACUGUACAGUAGGCAGGUCUUCAGGCACGAAGGGCCCACUCCUUUCAUAGAAUUGGGUUUUAUGCCUUCUGGAGAAAGGAGGGAAAAGCUAGGGAAUUCGUUAAAUGAAAAUAAACCUUGUUAACAUUGAAGGAGACAGUCUAUACAGAACAGUGUCCCUGAAGGUCUAGCAUUAUAGCUCCAUCACUCCUUCUAAACACAAAACUCCGUGGAAUAAUGACUGAAGUCCAACCUCAAGCCAACUGAAGACAAACUGAUCUCACGAAAUGUUUCCCACCU